GACGAACGCUGGCGGCGUGCUUAACACAUGCAAGUCGAACGGAAAGGCCCUGCUUUUGUGGGGUGCUCGAGUGGCGAACGGGUGAGUAACACGUGAGUAACCUGCCCUUGACUUUGGGAUAACUUCAGGAAACUGGGGCUAAUACCGGAUAGGAGCUCCUGCUGCAUGGUGGGGGUUGGAAAGUUUCGGCGGUUGGGGAUGGACUCGCGGCUUAUCAGCUUGUUGGUGGGGUAGUGGCUUACCAAGGCUUUGACGGGUAGCCGGCCUGAGAGGGUGACCGGCAAAAUGGGAACUGAGAAGCGCCCCAGAUUCGUAGGGGGGGGAGCAGGGGGGAAAAUGGCAAAAGGGGCGGACCCUGGCUGGAGAACCGCCGGGGGGGGAAAGACGGCCUUGGGGUUGAAAACCGCUUCCGCCUGUUACGAAGCUUGGGGGCCGUGAUGGGGAAAAAAGCCACCGGAUAACCACUU
rnacentral:rRNA from 1 species